rnacentral:rRNA from 1 species
GUGGGGAAUAUUGCACAAUGGGGGAAACCCUGAUGCAGCGACGCCGCGUGAGUGAAGAAGUAUUUCGGUACGUAAAGCUCUAUCAGCAAGGAAGAAAAUGACGGUACUUGACUAAGAAGCCCCGGCUAACUACGUGCCAGCAGCCGCGGUAAUACGUAGGGGGCAAGCGUUAUCCGGAUUUACUGGGUGUAAAGGGAGCGUAGACGGAAUGGCAAGUCUGAAGUGAAAUCCUGCGGCUUAACUGCAGAAUUGCUUUGGAAACUGUCAAUCUGGAGUGUUGGAGAGGUAAGCGGAAUUCCUGGUGUAGCGGUGAAAUGCGUAGAUAUCAGGAAGAACACCGGAGGCGAAGGCGGCUUACUGGACAAUAACUGACGUUGAGGCUCGAAAGCGUGGGAAGCAAACAGGAUUAGAUACCCUGGUAGUCC